GUAGGUGAACCUGCGGAAGGAUCAUUAACACAUCCUUUUCUAUAUCAAGCAAUGGCGCAUCGUUUGAGCCUGUUGAGGGGAGGCCGGGGUGGUAAUGGUGUGGAGUCUUUCUUCCGCUGCUUUCGAGCAGCGCUUAAGGGGAUUUUGCCCUCCGGCUAGACGCACUCCAGUUCAUUCAUUUGAAUUGGAGAGGCGCAACUUCUACUUGGCACGGUAUACAGUCUCUACCUGGCUGGCCCCUAUUUUUUUAAACCUCUUGAAUUUUGUACUGAUUCGGCUCGGAUCGAGAAGGGCUUGCUCUUCUCUCUGUGCCUGAUGGAGAAAUCCAUUCAAUAAAUCAAAACACAACUCUUAACAGCGGAUAUCUCGGUUCUC
rnacentral:misc_RNA from 1 species